GUGAGUAGGCGUCAUUCUUCACAGUAGUCCUCUGCCUCCACCGCCCCGGGAUCUCCUUGCGCUUGGUCCUCUACGUGGAGUCACCUAUGCAGAAGAAUUCCACGGGGCGGGGGCGAGGACAGGGUGCGGGGGUCUUUAUGGCAGACAGUCCCCGGCUGAGCGCUUGGCCAGAGUUUCUGUGAUGCUAGAAUCUGGACUGCCUGCGACCUCUCCGGGACUCGGACACCAGCCCUCGCCUCCUGGUGAUCUUUUAGGUCCUGCAGAGAAGCGAAGAGAUGAGGCCCAGAGAGGCGAAGCCACUUGAGCUCGUGAGUGACAGUCAGAUCUCAAGCCCUGCUCUUUCUAAAGCGUGCUGCCUUCAGAAAAGAAGAGCCAGAAGGAUGGAAAUUACUUUAGAAAGAUAAAUACCAGCUUUGAAGGAAUAAAAGCUGACAAGGAAUUGAAGGAGUUGAGGCACAAGCUUGAACAGGGUUGCAUGUUUGGCCCUUGAUUGUAAAUGCCCAUUGCUGCACCUGUUCCUGUUACUUGGGGAGUUGCAGCAGAAGGAACAGCAGCCUGGGACUCCAGAGAACUGGGUUCCCUCUCAUCUCUCCAGGGCCACCACUUCUUGUGGGCCCUUGGGCAAGUCACUGUACUUUCUGAGUCUCAGUUUCCCCAUUUGCAGAAUGGAAAUAACUACCCCGGUCUACCAACUUAGAAGAAUUGCUUUGAGGAUCUGAUAAGGUGGUGUGGAUGAUGCUGCCUUGGGGGCUUUACAGUCUGGAGCUCAAGGGACCCCUUAAGUUGGGCUUACUUAGUAACUCCAGGGGUGGGCAGAACAGGACUCCAAUGAGGGUUUUUUUCUUUUUCCCUUUUUUUUCUUUUCGUAUCUCUUAACUUUUAUCUUUAUUAUUUUACAAUGCCCUUGUAAGAUGAAACAAGUGAUGCUGAAAUAUCUUUUUUCUUUUUUAACCUUUAUUUUAGAAUUGGGGUACAUGUGCAGGUUUGUUGCAUAGGUAUAGUGUGGGCUGCUGAGGUUUGGAGUACGAAUGAAUUAGUCACCCCAGUGGUGAGCAUAGUGCCCGAUAAGUAGUUGUUUCAACCCUUACUCCCAUCCCUCUCCAUUCUUGUGUUCCCCAGUGUCUGCUGUUCCCGUUUUUAUGACCAUGUGUACUCAAUGUUUAGCUCCCACUUAGAAGUAAGAACAUGCCCAGCACUUUGGGAGGCCGAGGUGGGUGGAUCAUGAGGUCAAGAGAUCGAGACCAUCUUGGCUAACACAGUGAAACCCUGUCUCUACUAAAAACAUAAAAAAUUGGCCGGGUGUGGUGGUGGGCACCUGUAGUCCUAGCUACUCGGGAGGCUGAGACAGGAGAAUCGCCUGAACCGGGGAGGUGGAGGUUGCAGUGAGCUGAGAUUGUAACCACUGCACUCCAGCCUGGGUGACAGAGUGAGACUCCAUCUCAAAAAAAUAAAAAUAAAAAAAUAAAAAGAAUGUGGUGUAUGA
rnacentral:lncRNA from 1 species